AGUGAACGCUGGCGGUAGGCCUAACACAUGCAAGUCGAACGGCAGCACAGUAAGAGCCUGCUCUUACGGGUGGCGAGUGGCGGACGGGUGAGGAAUACAUCGGAAUCUACUUUUUCGUGGGGGAUAACGUAGGGAAACUUACGCUAAUACCGCAUACGACCUACGGGUGAAAGCAGGGGAUCUUCGGACCUUGCGCGAUUGAAUGAGCCGAUGUCGGAUUAGCUAGUUGGCGGGGUAAAGGCCCACCAAGGCGACGAUCCGUAGCUGGUCUGAGAGGAUGAUCAGCCACACUGGAACUGAGACACGGUCCAGACUCCUACGGGAGGCAGCAGUGGGGAAUAUUGGACAAUGGGCGCAAGCCUGAUCCAGCCAUACCGCGUGGGUGAAGAAGGCCUUCGGGUUGUAAAGCCCUUUUGUUGGGAAAGAAGAGCAGCAGGUUAAUACCCCGCUGUUCUGACGGUACCCAAAGAAUAAGCACCGGCUAACUUCGUG
rnacentral:rRNA from 1 species